CUUUGCUAUAGUGUUUUAGCUUGUGAAAGUCUCUGGAACCUUCCCUGCUUCAUCAAGGGAGUCACCUCUAUGUCAUUUUACUAAGGACAAAUACCUAAAACAAACAUGUUUAGACCCAGUGCCUGUCCAUUGCUGCAAGCAGUCCUGCACAUCUCCAAACAACAAGUUCAAGAUCAGCAUGAAAUUGGAAAUCCAGGAUCCUAGGAACACCCCAUCCACCUGUAUUUAUAGGCGCCUCCCUCCACCUGCACCUUGAUGGCAGUGUUAACAAGAAUGACUCUGUUAGCUGUCUGAAUCAGCUGAACUACAGCCUAGUGGGAACUGUGAGAAGAUUGGGGAUAUGCUGCAGACCCCUCUGGGCC
rnacentral:lncRNA from 1 species